rnacentral:rRNA from 1 species
ACUCCUACGGGAGGCAGCAGUGAGGAAUAUUGGUCAAUGGACGCAAGUCUGAACCAGCCAUGCCGCGUGCAGGAUGACGGUCCUAUGGAUUGUAAACUGCUUUUGUACGAGAAGAAACACUCCUAUGUAUAGGAGCUUGACGGUAUCGUAAGAAUAAGGAUCGGCUAACUCCGUGCCAGCAGCCGCGGUAAUACGGAGGAUCCAAGC